rnacentral:rRNA from 1 species
UACGUAGGUCGCAAGCGUUGUCCGGAUUUACUGGGCGUAAAGAGCGCGCAGGCGGCUGGUCAAGUCCGAUGUGAAAUCUCCCGGCUUAACUGGGAAACUGCAUCGGAAACUGAUCGGCUUGAAGGUGGGAGAGGGUAGUGGAAUUCCCGGUGUAGUGGUGAAAUGCGUAGAGAUGGGUAGGAACACCGGUGGCGAAGGCGGUCUUCUGGGACGUCCUUGACGCUGAGGCGGCGAAAGCUGGGGGAGCG